GCUGACUCCACUGUGGAACCAGCCGUUUGAGGACCAGAUAUCCACCAAAUAGACCAACACCAGGGAGUUUCUGAGGAAUUUAUCCAAGAUGCUGCAACGGAACAUUGGGGAGAUGUCUCCCUGGCUGAAGCAACAAAGCCAGUAUUAGAGAGUUAUCGCAACAAGUGUGAGUUUACCAUCGGCAAGAGUGUAGAUGGCAUCGAUAACACUGUUGGUUUCUGGCUUGGCGCUU